rnacentral:rRNA from 1 species
UACGUAGGGGGCAAGCGUUGUCCGGAUUUAUUGGGCGUAAAGAGCGUGUAGGCGGCCAGAUAGGUCGGUUGUGAAAACUGGAGGCUCAACCUCCAGACGUCGACCGAAACCAUCUGGCUAGAGUCCGGAAGAGGAGAGUGGAAUUCCUGGUGUAGCGGUGAAAUGCGCAGAUAUCAGGAAGAACACCCGUGGCGAAGGCGGCUCCUCUGGGACGGUACUGACGCUGAGACGCGAAAGCGUGGGGAGCGAACAGG